CUGCUGCCCCCGCGACCCGGCCCCGGAUGAAGCGGAAGAAGAUGGAUGUAUGUAUGUAUGUAUGUACAUCUAAAAAACUCACAUUGGAACUUGACCAUAACCACCCCAAAUGCCAUAAAGGAAAUGUUUGUUUUCACCUUUUGAUUUCACUACACAGCCAAUUUACAUUUUGCAGAUGUGCAAUUCAGAGGAACCAUCUCCUUGUCUGGUCGAUGGGUCGCCAGGAUACUAAGUCUGCAGUGUACUGUACGUGUCAUCACGAGGGGACCGAGCCAGAGGGGACGGGAUGUAACGUACGUGAAAUCACCAGGGGCCCGAGCCAGAGGGACGGGAUGUAACGUACGUGUCAUCACCAGGGGACAGAGACAGGAUGUGACGUACCUGUCAUCACCAGGGGACACAGCCAGAUGGGACGGAAUGUGCCGUACGUGUCAUCACCAGAGGACAGAGCCAGAUGACAUGGGAUGUGCCAUAUAUAUCAUCACCAGGGGACACAGCCAGAUGGGACGGAAUGUGCCAUACGUGUCAUCACCAGGGGACACAGCCAGAUGAGACGGGAUGUGCCGUACGUGUCAUCACCAGGGGACACAGCCAGAUGAGAAGGGAUGUGCCGUACGUGUCAUCACCAGGGGACACAGCCAGAUGAGACGGGAUGUGCCGUACGUGUCAUCACCAGGGGACACAGCCAGAUGAGACGGGAUGUGCCGGAUCCGCCUGUUUUUCUUUCCUAUUGAAAUGAGUUGGCUCCUGCACCCCCGGAAGAACGCGCUCUGACCGCCGUGUGGCGCGGCGUGAAGCUCCCCAUUUUCAGACUUGUGAUGCACCAGGGCCGCCAACUACAGGAGUGUUAUAAAUCAAAUCAAUGUUAUGUACACACUGACGAAUAUAAAGUUAAAUGCUGUAAAUAAAAUUCACUGUGUACCCAUA